rnacentral:lncRNA from 1 species
AGUUGUUCAUUGGGUGAGUGAUGUGAGGGGUUUAUUUUGGUGUUGAGAUGAUGAUAAAAAAGGUAGAACUUGUGAUCACUUAUAACAAAGGGGGUAGAAUGAUGAGAAUGAAUCUAAGUAUGCAUGAAUUGCUUCUAAUCUUAGAUAAAUUUUCAUAAUGAUCAAGCUCCUUGUUUUUGAGUGAUAACCACCUUGAAAUGAAAACAUUUGAAUCCCUCUUUUCAUUCAUAUUAGACCAUUGCUUACCUAGCCAAAUGAUUGAGAUCAUGUGCCCAUUUGUGAGAAUUCACCCUGUGUGUGUGUUAAUCAAUGUGAGAGCUGGUUGAAGGGACUUGUUAGUUGAGGAGUAUUGCAACUCGUGUAGAGGCAUAAGAGUAGGGAUAGGUCUAGAGAAGCUAGAGUAUAAUAAGAGAGUUGCUCAUGCUAUUUGCUAUGUUUCUUUAGGAUGUUAAUUUGAGUGCAAGGAAGUGUUACUUUUGGCUAUGAGUUCCCACCUUCAAACCUCUCUCCUAUAUGAGUUCUUGCAAGUUCACUUGAGGACAAGUAAAGAACAAGUUUGGGGGAGUUGAUAUCUUGCAUAUUUGCAUCAUUUUAAGUCUCCAAUUUGCACAUAUUGAUCAUAUAGAUUAGGAAUUUAGCAUCUUUAGAAUCCAUAUUGCAUUCAUAUGUCUUAAUCAGGUAAUGGAGUAUCUCAUAGAGUGAUUGGAGGUGUUUAGAAGCAUUGUGGUUCGAAAAGAGACGAAGGGUGAAGUUUGGUCGAGUAUAGAUGAUUGCAACGCGGGCUGUACCACGCAGGUUCACUAACCCGCGUUGACAUGAAACGACGGAGAGCUCCGACGCGGCUAGUGCGACGCGGGAUGCUGUACCUGCUCGCACAAAUAAGGAGAAGCGAGACGACACCACGACACGGGGUGUAGCGACGCGGGUUCCCUUACCCGCAUUGUCGAAGAGAAACCAUCCAUGGGUCACGCGGGGACGACGACGCGGGAUGUUGUACCCGCUCGCGUGAUCAGCAGGUGUAACGACACCACAACGCGGGGUGGAGCGACGUGGGUUCCCUUACCCGCGUUG